rnacentral:tRNA from 1 species
UCUAAUAUGGCAGAUUAGUGCGAUGGACUUAAGUCCCAUACAUAAAGAUUAGCCUUUUUUUAGAA